AACGAACGCUGGCGGCAUGCCUAACACAUGCAAGUCGAACGAAGGCUUCGGCCUUAGUGGCGCACGGGUGCGUAACGCGUGGGAAUCUGCCCUUUGCUUCGGAAUAACAGUUAGAAAUGACUGCUAAUACCGGAUGAUGUCGCAAGACCAAAGAUUUAUCGGCAAAGGAUGAGCCCGCGUAGGAUUAGCUAGUUGGUGGGGUAAAGGCCUACCAAGGCGACGAUCCUUAGCUGGUCUGAGAGGAUGAUCAGCCACACUGGGACUGAGACACGGCCCAGACUCCUACGGGAGGCAGCAGUGGGGAAUAUUGGACAAUGGGCGAAAGCCUGAUGCAGCAAUGCCGCGUGAGUGAUGAAGGCCUUAGGGUUGUAAAGCUCUAUUAACCGGGAUGAUAAUGACAGUACCGGGAGAGUAAGCUCCGGCUAACUCCGUG
rnacentral:rRNA from 1 species